UUAGAAGUUUAUCAUAUAAUGUGAAUGAAAAAGACCAUUUUAUUUACCCCUUCACUAAAGAUUUUAGAAAUCUCAUAUUCCUAUAUAGUUUCUCAUAUACUAUGCUCAAAUUCCUAACCUCUAUUCCAGGUAUGGAAUAGGACUAUAGUCUUCAACCUUGAAGAUUAAAUUCUCAUCCACUCUCCAAAGAGUGUGUAUUCUGAAUGGCUUCCCCAGAAGUGGGGGUGAAUUUGACAAAUUACUAAACGACAAAGAAAAGAGCACAGACUGGAUUCACUUAUCCUUCUCUUUGACAGCAUCACUCAUUAGCUGUGUUACUGUUCUUGAGAAUUUACAGCUUCUCUUCACUAAAAUUCCAUGUACUUUUUAGUUCUGGAUGUUUGUGUGUUACAGCAGAGCAACAGCUUUUAAAUGCCAGUGGAUGGUAGAGUUUUUAUUGCCUCUGUGAAAUAAGCACAAUGAAGUAAGCUUUUCAUAAAGGUAAAUGUUUCUAACCUAAGAACAGCGCCUUUAGUCUCAGAGAUUAUAUCCUUUUAUUUUUUAUUGUUAAACUUUCUUUUAUGAAAUUAUGAUGAUAGUAGAUGUAAAGAUUUUAGAAAACAUCCUUCCUUUGAAAAUUGGUUGGCAAAUUUAUGUCUCCCAAACUUUUAAAAAAACUUUCAUAUGUCUGUAAAUUUAAAUGUAUGAGCAUAAUGCAGAAUGCCUUUUAUGUCUGUUUCAGAACUACCACUUCAUGUCUAACAAUGUUAAGUAAUUUUACCUCUGACUCAUGUAUCUCCAGUUUUGGAAGUAGAAAGAGGUGGACUCAAGGAAUUAUUCUAGGCUGAGGACAUGUUGGUGGAAAAAGAGUAUUUCCAUUCCCUUGUAAAGUUCAGAAAACAUGUUUUAAGUUUUUUUCUUUCCUACUGGAAGAUCUGAAUUACGUGCCCUGAUCUCUGGCACAGUGUUACUUGAUAUAUUUUAAACAUUGUUGUUUUGGUUAAGUCAGCAGUAACAUGUGCACUCUAUAAAUGUCAAACAUAAAAUGCAACACACUCAGCAUUCUAUAAAGCAUGGCAAACAAUUCAGCAUUGCAGACAUUUGAAAUAUCUAUAGUAUAGCUCAGCUCAUUCUCACUUGGAACAAAGAAAUUCUUUUCCCCCCAGUUCUUAUGGCUAACACAGAUUAGGAAAGCUCAAGAAUAUUUCCUUGCUUCUUUCAGAAGAAAAGGCUUUUGAUAAACAUGCUGGGAGAAAUCAUGAAAUAUUAUGAAUUUGUAGUGUUUAAAAACAUAGAAUAUUUAGGCAUGUACUGUUAUUUUUCAAAAAUCCCAUUUGAUUUAACCCUUUAUAAUUUACUUUAAUCCUCAUGCCAUCCCUUCAAGGUAUAUGUUGCUAUCCAUGACACAGAAGAGCAUAGAGAGGCUGAGUAUAACUUAAGCAGCUCAGACGAAGUUACAUAGCUAAUGAGUGAUGCCGUCAAAGAGAAAGGGCAACAAAAAUAGUCACUGGAGGAAUUAUGCCAUGGACUCCUGUUGAUUUAAGGAACUAUAAGAAACAUUUCACUGCACUGUCACAACAGUGAAUCAGCUAAGAAGCCUGGCCUCCUCUGCUGCUCUGUGUCUACAUUCAGGCAUCAAGAAGCAACCAUAUGGUGGUUUUAAUACAACUCAUCUCUGUGAAUUAUAAUCUCUAAUAUGUGUGUGUGCAUCUCCCAAGGAUAUUGAAGUUUGAGCUCUAGGGGAAAAAUUAUACACAACUUUAUUCUUGAGAAAUAAACAAUUCAUUACAAUGCACCCCUGGUUGGAGCAUGCAUAGGAGUGUGAGGUUCACACUCCAAAGUCUUUAUUCAUUGACAGAGUUAAAACAGAAGAAAAAUAACAGAAAAAUCAUGGUAAAUGUUAUACAUUCCUUUAAAGUACUAUAUUAAUAUACCAGGAUUAAGAAUGACCACAUCAAUCACUUUUUUUUUGUAUGCCUGGGACACGUACAAGGUGAAAUAGUUGCACACCUCACCUAGGGGUGACUUUGUAUUGUUUGGAAGAAAAGAACAAACAAAGUCACACUGUGAUUGAAUCCUGAGAUUCUAUCCUAUCCUGGGGGAAUCCAGAGUAAAGCCAUUGGGUUUCCUUUAGCAUACCAAUCAGCAGGGGCAAGCGAGGGCCAGCCUGGUAUGAAGGUGACAUCAGAGACAUCUGUGUCCCUAGAAUUCUAAUAGCGCUCUGAAGUGUGGGCUUUAUACUAUCAUCUGAAGGGCUGUGCAUAGAAGCGUAAUGCUUAAGAAACACCCUUUGAUGAUGAAAAUAUAUGGCACUUCAAAAUAGCCUGCUUUGUGAAAAAACAAUCUGCCACAUUUAAAUUCUGAAUAUAGCUAACACUGAAAUAAAAUUGUCUGGAUUAACUGUU